rnacentral:lncRNA from 1 species
GUGACAUAAGAAACAUGUUCUAUGUAGGGCUUUGACUUUCUUUGGGUACAGAGAACAGUUGAUCAAGGGCCAAGGUAGAUCUUCAGAGAUGAGAGGGUGCUUAUGUAACACCUGCCCACAGGCUCCUGACUGGCCCGGUGCUCAGAAGCCCUUCACUGGGCACAGCCCAGCCUGUGUCAUCCCUCGGUGGACAGCCCUUUUGUGAUUUUUCAUGAAAGAGGUGAGGGUGAGAGGAUGAACUCAGUUCAGAUCAAAGUUUACAUGUAGGUGU